GUCCGUGGACAUCUUAACCUCUCACAUAAGCUCAAGAAGACAGGUACCCAAAAGACAUACCCUCUACUCUGAAGCCACUUGCAGUCUAGUGAAACCAAUUUCCAAACAAUUGUGAAGCAGUACAAUACAGUAAUUGUUCUAAUGGGAGAAAGAGAAGGAUUAGGACUACAUGACCAAAGUCUGAGAAUUGAAGAAUUCACCAUGAGGAGUCAAAGAGGAAGAAGUGACCCAGGAGGAGAAACUACAUGUUGGAACUGAACCAACAAUAUGUGUUUCUCUCUGUGGAUCAGCACAAUUUCAUAAGAACUAAAAUGAUUCAAGCAGAUGUUCAUCACAGAACUGCCAGCAAAAGCACCGAAAGUCACAAAGAUAAAUUCCAAUCCAGUGUUUGGAAAUCUCCCCACCAUACUCAAGCAUCUUUUGAAAUCUAGGCAUCAUUCAGGGAAAUGUGUAGUUCCAGUCUUAAGUAUUCCAAUGACCUUCAGCUGCAGAUUACUUCUAUGGCUAUAAUCUGAAGACUGUUGCUCUUUGUUUAUCCCAGGGUGUGUUUUUCCCAGUUACUAAGGUAUGUCCUCCCUGAUGUAGAAAUCUUAGGCCCCACAUAACCUGGAUCCACUUCGGGGCCACUCCCUGGGGUUUGGCAGAGACCCAUGCACCUGGAGGACCCUGUCGCUGAAGUUCCUCUAGCUGCAAGAGGCCUUCACCAAGACUGGCAGACGAGCAAAUACUCUAAACGUCAGAGGCAGAGUCAGAUACUAAGCAGCCAAAAGCCUCCAGUGAUACGUUCACAAGAGCCAAGGGUCUUCAUAUUGGGAUUAACUGUGUGCAAGGUCUAGGGAAGAGCUCUCGUUAAGAAGAACAAGUGAAUUUGUUCACCAGUGAUUACUGAGCUCCGGUUGAGCACCUACUGUGAAACUACUUCCUGCCAAGCUUGCUGCCAAGUCCAUAGAAGACAAGAUUAAAAAGCUAUCUCCACUUUCAUGAAACUCGGAGUCUGAUAGAAGAAACACACAUGUAUACAUAUACAGUUCUCUGCAACCUUGAGAAUAACAUUCUUGAAAAUUCUCUGACAAGAUAAUUUGUAGGCUAAAAAUGUAAGAAUCUAAGAGACAAUAGGAAUGUGGGACAAAGUUCAUAAUGAAAACAGGGAAGUCUUAUUAAAUGUAAGGUUGUUAUACCCUUAAGAACAGGCUCUCUGGGACGCCUGGAUGGCUCAGUUGGUUAUGCUUUCACCUCCAGUCAUGAUCCCAGAGUCCUGAGGUCGAGCCCUGAGUCCUCCCUGCAGAGAGGGAAGUCUGCUUUUAUUUCUCCCUAUGCCCUUCCCCUGCUUGUGUUACCUCCAGCGCUCUCUCUCUCUCAAAUAAAUAAAUAAAUAAUCUUAAAAAAAAAAAAAAGAACACUCAGUGCAAAAGAGAUCAUCCAAUGGUUUCCUUUGACAUUAAAAUCUGAAAUAAUUUAUAAAGGCUCCUUUAAAGUUUUAAGUUGAACAUACAAACCUAUUCUAUUUUGAAGUUCAGCAAAUCUUAGGGGCACCUGGGUGGUGCAGUUGGCUGAACGUCAGACUCUUGGUUUUUCUUAGGUUGUGAUCUCGGUGUCCUGAGAUCAAGCUCCUCAUUGGGCUCCAAGCUCAGCGCUGUCUGCUUGAGAAUCUCUCUCCUUCUCCCUCUGCCCCUCCCUCCCCACCUCUCUCUCUAAAAUAAAUAAAUAAAUCUUAAAAAAAAAAAAAAACUUCAGCAAAUUUUAGCAGUUUCUGAAACACGUUUGAUAAGGUCCCAUUUAAUAUUUUUAAAUAUUUGAAACUAUAUUUGUAAAUAUAAAAUACUCAGUUUCCUUAAGACCUUUGAUCAUAUGACUUAACAUUUUUUUCAAGUAUGAAAUUAGUUCUUAUAAAGAUAUUAAAUUAAUCUUCUAAAUAAUGUGAUUCUUAAGUUCUCUUCAAUAUGUCAAUACAUACACUUAAGAAGGACUUAAUUUAAAAGUGAAAUUCUAAAUCAAUCACUAAAUGAUAAAAUUAGAACUAAGUGCUUGACGUAUGUUGCUCUAAAAGGCCAUUUUUUUAAAAAUACAAGGACAUUUCAAAUAUACUCAGGUUCCAUAACAUAAACAUGUUAAUAUGAUGAAUUCUGAUUCUCUUCAACAUUGCCCUACACUUGACCCUUGAACAAUGCAGGGCUCAGGAGCGCCAACCCCACGUGCAGCUGAAAAUCCAAGUAUAACACUGAUUCCCCAAAAACUGUACUAUUGGCAAGAAGAGGGAAACAAUACUUUUUACUGUGAUAUGACAUUUACUGCUCACGUGGAGACAAUUAGUAUGACAGAACAUUUUAAGUGGAUGCUCACAAAGCUUGAGCUCACUGCAAGAGCAACGGGAGGUGGUUACAAAAUUGCUACAGCAGUACCGCACGUACCACCAUUAAUUUUAUGCAGUUGUGAUUUAAUACUGCAACUUUAUCUCUGUUUACAUUUCUCUGGACUGCCAAUGGCAUCAUGCAUGAUCUGUGUGUGCACAAGUUUUGAUCAAUUUCAACUUUUUAUAAUAGAUUCGUAUAUAGUGUAUGGUAGUAAGCAAUUAAAUAGACUGGUAUCUACAUACAGUUUCUAUAUUCUUGGCAUACCUAAUUUUUCUCAAACUUUUUUGGUAUUUUUUAAAAAAUUAUUUAUUUGAGAGCGAAAGAGAAAGCACAAGCCAGGGGGAGAGGCAGAGGGACAAGUAGACUCCCUGCUGAGCAGGGAGCCUGACGCGGGACUCAUCCCAGGACGCUGAGCCGAAGGCAGGCACUUAACCAACUGAGCCACCCAGGCACCCCUCAGAAUGUUUUGGUAUUGGUAUUUCUAAGCUAUGCAGUUCAUCUGAGAGCUUUUUCAAAUUGAUGUAAACCUCCAAAGAGUUUUCCAAUAUAUUUAUUGAAAAAAAAUGCAUAAAAGUAGACGCACGCAGUUCAAAUUUGUGCUGUCCAAGAGUCAGCUGUACCUAGCUCUAACAGUUUAAUAGUUGAAAGAUGCUUACCUGAUGAGGAAAUCAUUGUCAUCCCAAUCAAAUUUCAGCAUUGCUAUCAUUGCUUGGUUUCACAACCAGAGCUUCUGGCUUUGGUGCUGACAGGCUUCUUGUUAGCGAUUGAUGGAACCGGUUUAGCAUUGCUUGUACUCCUACAUGAAUGCAAUUUAUAGCUUAUGUAAAUCACAUCACGGGGUUCAAUUUAUGAGUAUCUGAUUCUUUGGCCAACUCACGGAAGUCGCAUAAGUCCUACCCUGCUUAUAUCACAUGAUUCAUAGUUUGUGCACUUAGUAUAUGUAUAUGUCUUUUCCGGCUACUUUGAUCAAGAAGAAAUCCUACAUUUACAAUAUGUACUUCCUAUUUCUUAGGACACCUAACUCUUAUGAAUAUUAUAAUAAUAAACAAUUCCAUUUUUAAUGUUUUAAUGGCUUAGUAUUACUAUUCAGGGACCACUUCUGAGUCAGUCAAGAUUUUAGUUGAACUGCUUGAAAGCAAAAAAUAAAAUUAAAAAAUUCCAAAGAUCAGUGUUUUUUACAAAACUGGUGCUUUCAAUUUUUCUCAUAUCUGAGGAAUACAGGGCUGGGCAGAAAAUAGCUGAUAUGUGGCUUCAUGAUGCUCUACUGAAACCUUCUCUUUCUAUCAGGCUCCCAACCUUCCCAUCCUCAUGGACAAAAGAUUUUACAUGCUUAAAAUAAUAAUAAAUUCAGCAUAUAAAUUGGAAAAAAAUAUUUUAUAUCUUUUUGAAACAGGAUGUAUUUAAGCUUUAAAAGACAGCUUUAUUGAGAUAUAAUUAACAUUCAACAAACUGCAUAUAUAUAAAGUAUAUAAUUUGGUAAGUUUUGACAUAUGUAGACAACUCAGUACCCAUCACCACAAUCAAGGUAAUGAACAUAGCCAUCCGCUUCAAAUACUUCUUUGAGACUCUGAAAUUUCUUCCUCCUGUCCCCCUUCCCCCAAUGCCAUCCCAAGACAACCAAUAUCUGCUUUCUUUUAUGAGAGAUUAGUUUGCAUUAAAUAUAAUUUUAUAUAAACUUUAUAUAAAUUUAUUAUAUAAAUUCUACAGUGUGUGCUCAUUACUUUUUAUUGCUGAUUAGUUUUCCAUGUACACAUAUACCACAGUGUGUCUAUUCAUCUGUUAAUGGACAUUUGGGCUGUUUUCAUUCUUUGUCCACUACAAAUAAAACUUCUACGAAUAUUAAAAAACAUUGUAUGGGCAUAUACUUUUAUCUCCAUAGAAAAUACCUAGGAGUGGGAUGGUUGGAUAGGUAUAUUUUUUAACUUUUUGAGGAAAAUGCCAGGCUAUUUUCAAAAGUGAUUGUAUCAUUUUACAUUCUCAUUGACAGAUGAAAGUUCCAGUCCCACCACAUUCUUGCCAAUACUUGAUAUGGUCAGUACAUUUAUUCUUAGCAUAGCCAUUCAAUUAGGUAUGUAGAAUAGUCAUUCUAUCAAGCACGCAAAAUUCACUACAAUAGGUUUUAAUUUAUAUAUCCCUGAUGACUAAUGAAUGUUCAGCAUUGUUUCAAAUGCAUAUUUACUAUCCAUAUAUAGUUUCUGGUGAAGUGUUUUUCUAAUUAUUACAUCCAUCUUUUAAUUGAGUUUUUUGCUUUAUUAUUGAAUUUCAAGAGUGUUUUAUUUAUUCUGGAUAUGAGCCUUCUAUCAGAUAUAAAAUUUGCAAAUAUUUUCCACCAGUCUCUAAGUUGUCUUU